AUAUAUGGUUCGUGAUUUGGACUGAAACUGUGACCAUUUUCUUAGGGAACGGGGGGAUAAUGUCACGCACGCAUAUAUGUUUACGUUUUAUUUAUAGUCUUAUGUGUGUCGUUAUGUCACGUGGUAUGUAUGUGAGUAAGCAAGAGUGUGAAAGACAGAGCGUUCAGGUGAGAACGAACGUGGAAUUGGUAUUGUCCACUUGUCGGGUAGUUUUAUACCCUUUUUCCACCAGGAAUUGAUGCAUGUGGGAAGCCUAGACAGCAGACUGGGCUUCACAUGAUGGGCAGGCAACAAGAACUACUUCUGUAAGCCGGCAAGAAAAGACAUGACACCUCAUCUUUAUAAAGUCAGCACCAGGACCGACCAAACAGAUUAUAGAAUCUUCAGGGUCAAGGUCAGCUGUGUAAAGACGGCAGUCUACAGGCAGGCAUGAAGAGUACGCCAGUUGUCAUUGGAGAAAGAUAGCCUCGGAUUGGAGGAACUCUGUAUGACGUACCAGACACAGACAGGUAUCUUGGUACAUACACUUUGCUCAGAGCAAGGUUACUUUGAGGAGAAUUGGAGUAAAUUCUCAGGUUCUUGGAACCCUACCUAUUUAGCGACAGGUACAGAGAUACUGUACACGCUGUAUGUUCGGCAUUGGACUACACUGAGACGUGGUGCUCCCCAUUUGUGAAGAGACUUUAGUUAUCUGUAGAACAUUAUCGCAUGAAAGGUAGUGAGAGUGAUCGUGAGUGUGAAUACAACUAGGUAUCUAUUAAGUUUGUGUGUGUAAAUAAAUUUGUAUAUAUGUAUUU